AAUACUUUUAAUUUGUUCUUACGUGGUUUUCCAGAUGUAGUGACGACAACAUUAAAGUUUAAAGAAGAAAAUUCUAACAUUUAAACCGACUAAACAAUAAUAUAGUAAACUUGCAUAAUUAAACAGCAACUAAAAAUGAUAGGUUUUACUAAAUCUUUUCCUGUGCAAUUAUUACUAGCAUUGGAGACAAGGAUAAUAGUUUGUUUGAAAGAGAAAAGAACAGGCUCUGAAGUAAGCCUAAAAGCGUUUAACUAGAAAUAGUAUUUCGAAAGUUAUUAAGCACAAAAGAUGAAUUGCGUUUAUUUUGAUACACCCUGUAUAUUCUCUCCAAGUACCACCACAAAGCAGAAAAUACUGUUUCAAAUACCUAAACUUCAAACUUUCUUGAACCCACUUAGAAUUGCCACGACGUUUUAAUUAAGUCCCCCCCCGAAAAAAAAAUUGAAUCCACAAUCGUCCACAAAAUAUAUUGAGACUUUUGGAAUCACUGCCCCCUAUUAGCCUUUCUGACGCCGCCAUUUUUGGGGUACUUUUUUGCCAAUCCUGCGAGCGUAACACCACAUAACUUCGACAUUUUAUAAUUUUGUGGGUGUAUGAUGGUAAAUUUAUUCUGUAAAUUGUUAGUUUGUUCUGAAAUAUUGCUUUUCACAUUGUUUUAAUCGUUUACGAAAAAUUACAGUGCCCCAAAAAUGGCGGCGUGCGAAAGACUAAUUUCAAUGUUGAAAGGCUACUAUAUGUUUGAGAAAUGAACACGUACAGCGUGACACCAAAACCGCAACUGUCCCAUUGGCAGUUAACGUUUAACGUAUGAUGUUUGAAAUAAAUAAUAUUAUAGUACAAAACAGCAUUGAAAUCGGGGAGGGGGGUUUGUGGAUAAUUGCAGGAUGCGCCACUGGCUUAAUUGAACAAAACGAACAGUUGUACAAGUAAACCCUUUUAGGUUUGUGCCAAUAACAGUUCUUAAUCUUAACGCGUUUUAUCGAAUCUUGAUUCGAUAAAACGCGUUAAGAUUAAGAACUGUUAUUGGCACAAACCUAAGAGGGUUUACUUGUAAACUUACUCAUUGUAACACUGAAAUAUUGAAAGGCAUUGCGCAAUUAAUAAAAAUUGCACGAAC